rnacentral:rRNA from 1 species
UACGUAGGUGGCAAGCGUUGUCCGGAUUUACUGGGCGUAAAGGGCGUGCAGGCGGUUUGUUUAGUCUAGGGUGAAAGCUCCCGGCUUAACUGGGAGAGGUCCUUGGAUACUGGCAAACUUGAGGGAGGCAGAGGAAAGUGGAAUUUCCGGUGUAGUGGUGAUAUGCGUAGAUAUCGGGAGGAACACCAGUGGCGAAGGCGGCUUUCUGGGCCUUACCUGACGCUGAGACGCGAAAGCGUGGGGAGCGAACCGG